rnacentral:lncRNA from 1 species
CUGGCAGCUGUUUCUAGGGUAUUGAUCUCCUGGCCCAGCUGUAGAGAAACAGGGGUUUUCAGGCCUUACUGUCCCAGCCCCUGCUGCCAACUGUGGUUAGUUCCCCAUCCUGCCCCUUCAGGACGACAUUUUAAAGAAUCCACCAGCUCCUUGGCCUCCUCACUAUGGCUGCCAGUCAUUGGCGACCCCCAAUCAUUCUUGACAGUGAAUUGCCUGGAUACUACAGGGAUGAGAAGGAGAGACUCUGGAAGGUUGUAAGCCUGGAAUAUAGUCUACACCACCCCCCUGAUAAUGGGCAUGGAGUCCUUGUCAAAGUCACAUUGUGGCAGGUGGGAGAAUACAACUUGGAGACCCCUUACAUUAUCAUGCCAACUUUGACAUGGAUCCCCAGUACGUGGAGGAAAGAGUGUGAGUUGACAUACACAGGGAUAGACUACACCUUCUGGGCAAUAUCGGAACAUUCCCAGACUGACGGCAGAGAAUACCUGGUCCUAGCAAUAUGGAAACCCAUUGGUGUCCAGUCUAGAAGUGUCUCCUGGAAAGCUCAGCCCUGAACUUCAGAUGAUCUGCUACUGUGAGCCUGGCUGUCUGUGUCCUGAGCCUUCUCCCUUCCUGGGUACAGCUUCCCCUUUCUUGUCUCCAUUUUCCUCUGAUGCUGACUUCACAGAUCAUCCUUAGAAGACACCUAUUCCCUUUGAACCCCUCUCCUGGGCUCUCAGUGCAGCAUGUCCCUCAGGCGACUCUGAUCUGGAGGUUCCUGUGUAGCAGGUAUGGAUGGGGUCUCCAUGCCCUGUGGAUCUCUGAUCUACCAAUGCUGGCUAGAAGUUGACCUGGAGCUGGGCAGAGGACUCUGUGCUCAGUGGCUUGAAGACACCAUGGGAUGUGUGCAGGAGCAUCUGGUGUACUUCUCCCACAUGCUCAGUACUUGGCUCCUAGAAGUGAUGCUGACCCUAAUCCCCACCCCAAACUUGUUUUUAACUAAUUAAAC